rnacentral:rRNA from 1 species
UACGUAGGGUGCGAGCGUUAAUCGGAAUUACUGGGCGUAAAGCGUGCGCAGGCGGUUUUGUAAGCCAGAUGUGAAAUCCCCGGGCUCAACCUGGGAAUGGCAUUUGGGACUGCAAGGCUGGAGUGCGGCAGAGGAGACUGGAAUUCCUGGUGUAGCAGUGAAAUGCGUAGAUAUCAGGAGGAACACCGGUGGCGAAGGCGGUGGUCUGGGCCGGAACUGACGCUGAGGAGCGAAAGCGUGGGGAGCGAACAGG